AAGGAAGCAGAUGACUUCAAGACACACUGAUACGGAAUAACGUAAAGUGGAGCCAUGCUAUGACUGCUGUUCUUCGUUCUGCGCCAUGCCUCUGAGAUGGUAGCUUCUUGCUGUGGUUCUCCAAAGAAGGACAGGACUACAGCAGGAUGUCUAUACCAGGAUAAAGGUGAUGAGCAGAACGUGUGGACAGUCUCCAGUGAUGGAAAAACAUCCAGUCAAAAUCCUUCCUAAUUCCUCUGGGAAGAGGAGAAGCCCACCUUUCUCCUCCAUUUUAUUUAUUUCUUAAAUGUAUUUAUUUGCAGCAUGUUGAUCUGUGUUGCUCUGUUCUUGUUUUAAUGAUGACUUGUCCUAAAAACUCCUUGUUGAGAAGUUGGGUCAUGUCUGACAGCAGACAAGUUCAGCAGUGGCUCAAAGGUUAACAUUUACUGUAUGUACACAACAUUUAUAUGGGAGAAAUGCAAUGUGGUCAGCACAGAAAAGACAUCCAGUCACAAGUCACAUAAAUAAAUGGUUGUAAAGAUCAUGUAUCAAUAUAAACAGUGUUAUUAAAGUGUCCGUCCAUUGAUUCUGCAGGAAAAGCA